GAGCCUAAAAACUCCCCCAGGCGCAAAAGUUUGGUCCUAGCUUUAGAGUCAAUUUUUUCUUAACUUACACAUGCAAGUCUCCUCAACCCUGUGAGUAAGCCCUAACUUCCCCAUCGGAAUAAAAGGUUGAUAUAAGGCUCUACAACUUGCCCAAGACAUCUAGCAUAAGCCACACCCAUAAGGGACACAGCAGUGAUUAACAUUAUCUAUAAGUGUCAACUUGAUCUAGUUAAAGAAAUAUAAGGCCGGCAAAAUUAGUGCCAGCCGCCGCGGCUACACUAUAUGCCUAAACUGACUCUCGCCGGCGUAAAGCGUGGUUAAAGCCAUUAAUAGACUAGAGUUAAAUCUUGAUAGAGCGGUUAAAUGCCUAUCUGUAAAAAACCCACAAACGAAAGUUACUCUACCCUGUCACUUGAACCCACGAUAGCCAAGAUACAAACUAGGAUUAGACACCCUACUAUGCCUGGCCCUAAACCUUGAAUUACCCUCAAAUCGCCGGGGAACUACGAGC
rnacentral:rRNA from 1 species